rnacentral:rRNA from 1 species
UGUAACAAGGUCUCCGUUGGUGAACCAGCGGAGGGAUCAUUACUGAGUUUACGCUCUACAACCCUUUGUGAACAUACCUAUAACUGUUGCUUCGGCGGGCAGGGUCUCCGUGACCCUCCCGGCCUCCCGCCCCCGGGCGGGUCGGCGCCCGCCGGAGGAUAACCAAACUCUGAUUUAACGACGUUUCUUCUGAGUGGUACAAGCAAAUAAUCAAAACUUUUAACAACGGAUCUCUUGGUUCUGGCAUCGAUGAAGAACGCAGCGAAAUGCGAUAAGUAAUGUGAAUUGCAGAAUUCAGUGAAUCAUCGAAUCUUUGAACGCACAUUGCGCCCGCCAGCAUUCUGGCGGGCAUGCCUGUUCGAGCGUCAUUUCAACCCUCAAGCUCUGCUUGGUGUUGGGGCCCUACAGCUGAUGUAGGCCCUCAAAGGUAGUGGCGGACCCUCCCGGAGCCUCCUUUGCGUAGUAACUUUACGUCUCGCACUGGGAUCCGGAGGGACUCUUGCCGUAAAACCCCCAAUUUCCAAAGGUGACCUCGGAUCAGUAGA